CGAGAGGGGACGAGCGUUAUUCAGCAUGACUGGGCGUAAAGGGCAUCUAGGCAGCACGAAUUGAAAAACUAAACUAACAGCAGUAACUGUGAACAGAAAAGAAAAGUUUGUGCUAGAGUGAGUGAAAGGAAAAUAGGAUUUCUGGUGGAGGGGUAUAAUCCAUAGAGAUCAGAAGGAAUAUCGACAGCGAAGGCAAUUUUUCUAGCACUCUACUGACGCUGACGUUGCGAAAGCGUGGGACCAAACAGGAUU
rnacentral:rRNA from 1 species